AGAACGAACGCUGGCGGCAGGCUUAACACAUGCAAGUCGAGCGCCCAGCAAUGGGAGCGGCGGACGGGUGCGUAACACGUGGGAACAUGCCUUUCGGUACGGAACAACUGCGGGAAACUGCAGCUAAUGCCGUAUACGCCCUUACGGGGAAAGAUUUAUCGCCGAAAGAUUGGCCCGCGUCUGAUUAGCUAGUUGGUGAGGUAACGGCUCACCAAGGCUUCGAUCAGUAGCUGGUUUGAGAGAACGACCAGCCACACUGGGACUGAGACACGGCCCAGACUCCUACGGGAGGCAGCAGUGGGGAAUCUUGGACAAUGGGCGAAAGCCUGAUCCAGCCAUGCCGCGUGAGUGAUGAAGGCCUUCGGGUUGUAAAACUCUUUUACCUGGAAGAUAAUGACUGUACCAGGAGAAUAAGCCCGCUAACUUCGCGCCAGCAGCCGC
rnacentral:rRNA from 1 species